UAUAUUUUGGUGUACGGUGCACAAAAGUUUUUGAUACUUUUAGAAAUAGUUUGAUUCUAUUAAAUAUAA
rnacentral:tRNA from 1 species